GACGGACGCUGGCGGCGUGCCUAAUACAUGCAAGUUGAGCGCUGAAGGUUGGUACUUGUACCAACUGGAUGAGCAGCGAACGGGUGAGUAACGCGUGGGGAAUCUGCCUUUGAGCGGGGGACAACAUUUGGAAACGAAUGCUAAUACCGCAUAAAAACUUUAAACACAAGUUUUAAGUUUGAAAGAUGCAAUUGCAUCACUCAAAGAUGAUCCCGCGUUGUAUUAGCUAGUUGGUGAGGUAAAGGCUCACCAAGGCGAUGAUACAUAGCCGACCUGAGAGGGUGAUCGGCCACAUUGGGACUGAGACACGGCCCAAACUCCUACGGGAGGCAGCAGUAGGGAAUCUUCGGCAAUGGACGAAAGUCUGACCGAGCAACGCCGCGUGAGUGAAGAAGGGUUUCGGAUCGUAAAACUCUGUUGGUAGAGAAGAACGUUGGUGAGAGUGGAAAGCUCAUCAAGUGACGGUAACUACCCAGAAAGGGACGGCUAACUACGUG
rnacentral:rRNA from 1 species